CACGUAGGGCGCAAGCGUUGUCCGGAAUUAUUGGGCGUAAAGAGCUCGUAGGCGGUCUGUUGCGUCCGCUGUGAAAACUCGGGGCUUAACCCCGAGCCUGCAGUGGAUACGGGCAGACUAGAGGUAGGUAGGGGAGAAUGGAAUUCCCGGUGUAGCGGUGAAAUGCGUAGAUAUUGGGAGGAACACCAGUGGCGAAGGCGGCUCACUGGACCGGUACUGACGCUGAUGCGCGAAAGCGUGGGGAGCAAACGGGG
rnacentral:rRNA from 1 species